rnacentral:lncRNA from 1 species
AUUCUGUUUGAUGGUUAGUGUAGGUGGACGGUCCAAAACGUAGUUCCAAGGCUCGAGUGAAGGAUGUCCAGUCCGUGAUAAGGUUUUUUUUAUGCAACCAUUUAAACCAGCUAAGAGCCUCUCCUUUCAUGUGAAAAGCUACCUUAGAAAUCCUUUGUUCAGGUGGAAUAUGAUAAAACGCAAAAUACUGCUUUGCUUGGAAGAGCCAAUCUAAA